rnacentral:rRNA from 1 species
CAGCAGCCGCGGUAAUACGAAGGGGGCUAGCGUUGCUCGGAAUGACUGGGCGUAAAGGGCGCGUAGGCGGAUGGUACAGUCAGAUGUGAAAUUCCUGGGCUUAACCUGGGGGCUGCAUUUGAUACGUUUUGUCUAGAGUGAGGAAGAGGGUCGUGGAAUUCCCAGUGUAGAGGUGAAAUUCGUAGAUAUUGGGAAGAACACCGGUGGCGAAGGCGGCGACCUGGUCCUUGACUGACGCUGAGGCGCGAAAGCGUGGGGAGCAAACAGGAUUAGAUACCCCCGUAGUCCCUGUCUCUUAUAC